rnacentral:rRNA from 1 species
UACGUAGGGUGCAAGCGUUAAUCGGAAUACUGGGCGUAAAGCGUGCGCAGGCGGCUUUGCAAGACAGAUGUGAAAUCCCCGGGCUCAACCUGGGAACUGCAUUUGUGACUGCAAGGCUAGAGUACGGUAGAGGGGGAUGGAAUUCCGCGUGUAGCAGUGAAAUGCGUAGAUAUGCGGAGGAACACCGAUGGCGAAGGCAAUCCCCUGGACCUGUACUGACGCUCAUGCACGAAAGCGUGGGGAGCAACAGG